GUUUGGAAACGGAUGAGACAGCUCUCGCUUGGAGAGAGAAAUCGGCGCUUGACGAAACCGCUCGGCGUUGAGGAUGCCUCAUCGAGGAACUGGACCCGUUUUAAAGAGGUGAUUUGCAGCAAAGUUACGAAGAGAAUAUAUUCUGUGCCGAACUCAUACAUGGAGCAGUGCGAUUUUUAUUGUUAUUAAUAAAGACUACUGUACCCCUCCU